CAAUCACAUCUUGUUUUUCAGAGUAUCCGGAUGAGCGAGCUGGCAGGAACUUGACACUGGUGGCCAAAACGCUUCAGACUCUCGCUAACUUUGCCUGUUUCGAAGCCAAAGAAAUUUUUAUGGAAUUCUUAAACGACUUCAUUGAAAAGGAGAAAGAACAGUGUAGAAAAUUCUUAAGAUCAAUUUCUAGUCCUCUCACUAAGGAGGACAGCACCUUGGGUUUAUGGCAAGAUUGACCUCGGGAAGCACCUGGCCUUACUACACCUGCACCUGAGUGAUGCCCUCGCUAAGAUUGACACACAGGGUUACAAGAGUGAGGCUAGUAGAGUAUUAGCACUAGUCGACGACAUAAGUAAGUACCUAGGAAACGACCAGAAGCCGACCAGUGGACAUCAACCAGUGGCUACACCAGCCCGUAUGUCUACACCGGCCAUGUCUACACCAGCCC